ensembl:lncRNA
GUCAUCUCAUGAUGUUCAGGGUCUUGCUGCUCCUGUUUGCCGUGGCUGGUCUCCAUGCAAGACCACUGCACCGAUUCCCAAAUGGUAAAUUAAAACCAAUUGGGCCACAAAUGGUCCAAGAUGAACACAGGGAUAGCUCAGUUCUGAAGCACAUGAACACUGAUGUGAAACCCAAGAAGCAACUACCAGUUCCCGCUGAGUUCUGCAGACAGGGAACAGAACCUUCCAGACGCUUCCUGAUGGACCUGAACACUGGGAUGCUCAAGCGUGGAGUUGGCAAAGUGAACGGAAAAGUUUCAAGAUUGGAUGAGCUCAAACAAGGCACUGAGAACCAGCUGCACACCCUGCAAGAGCUCAGAAUGCGUCCCAUGAUGAGAUCGCAGUACAUCGCUCAGAGCGAAAAACACGAGCAGAGAGCGAUCCCUGCCGAGGUGUACAGAAAAGGCACUGAAACUUCCAGAAAUGUCCUGAUGGACCUGAACACCGGUCUGCUCAAAGAACACAUGAACAAGAUGGACAGGAGAGUAGUGGCAGCUAAAUGGGAAGUGGUUUCUGAGCAUGAGGAUAUAAGAAGCCAAGACUCUUCUGAACAUAAGGAGAACCACAAAGCAGUUCCUGUUGAGAUCCGCAGACAGGGAACAGAACCUUCCAGACGCAUCCUGAUUGACUUGAACACUGGGAUGCCCAAGGAGGAACUCAGCGAAAUGAACAGAAGAGUUUCUGGCUUCUACAAUCCAGCACCUAUUGAGAAGAGGCAAGGAACAGAACCUUCCAGACGCUUCCUGAUGGACAUGGACACUGGGAUGCUCAAGCACGAAGUUAGCGAAAUGAACAGAAGAGUUUCCGGCUGUAUGUCUCUAAAGUCACUUUUAAAAUGUCAAUGCAUAUAA